GCAAUCAAUUAGCACGUUCAAUUCCAGUGGUCACAGGAUAGAUUCUUUUGCCGUUAUAUCCAAAAUUAAGAGAAAAAAGAGCAACAUCAGACCUCUUUAAAAGGAUAAAGCAAGAAGGGAAGAUCUUACAAAAUGCUAUCUUCACUUCAAAAAGACGCAAGCAUAGAGGCUGGUCAAUGUCUAUAUAAUACCAGCUUCUAGCUCUAAAUUUUCAU
rnacentral:misc_RNA from 1 species